rnacentral:rRNA from 1 species
UCUGACCUCAAAUCAGGUAGGACUACCCGCUGAACUUAAGCAUAUCAAUAAGCGGAGGAAAAGAAACUAACAAGGAUUCCCCUAGUAACUGCGAGUGAAGCGGGAAAAGCUCAAAUUUAAAAUCUGGCGGUCUUUGGCCGUCCGAGUUGUAGUCUGGAGAA